ensembl:snRNA U6 U6 spliceosomal RNA
GUGCUCGCUUUGGCAGCACAUAUACUAAAAUUGGAACGAUACAGAGAAGAUUAGCAUGGCCCCUGCGCAAGGAUGAACAAUUAUAUUAUAAAUUAUUAUCUUUUUAU